rnacentral:lncRNA from 1 species
UGGACCCACCCAAAAAACGUCCACCUCCUCAUUGUACAGGAUCCAUCUACCUCGCGAUCCGAUUGAUUAUAUAAUCCAUUGCAGAGCGGAAUUGGGCUUCAGUGACCUUUCACAUACACCAGUUUCAGGAUCAAAAGGAUCACCAAGUUUGCAGUUCAAAGGCAACUGAUUCAUUAUAGGCAUCACGUAAUGAAUUAUGGACGAAGGUUCUCGGUGCACCAAGCUGCAGCAAACGCCGCCAAGUUGAGCGAUUUCAUCAUCCACCGCCGAGGGGAAAUAACCGCUCCCUUAUUUCCAACAGUUUCCACAGAAACGCGCGUUUCCCAAAAAAGAACCUCCUCCGCAAUGAUUUUGCCAGUCUACAUGUUAAAUCAAUAACAGAUGAGAGAUCUACUAGCUCGCAUGAACUUUCCAGAUUUAUGGUUCAUUUUAAGUGCGUGGAUUGCUUAUGAAACGCUCGCUGGCCUUGCCCUGGGCGUCAUUCAUAAUUAUAGCCAACCAACUAAAAUAAUUGAAGCUAAAUGCAUUAAGUUUUUUUUUUAAAUUUUAGCAAGGCUUGUAAAUGAUGACGCCACUAGUUGAGCUACUUUCCAGGUAAUAAUAAUCAUCUGAAGCGGAAAGUUAGAAUAAAGUAAUUAUUUUUUUAUCUGAAUUAAUAAUAAUCAUUUAAACGUUAACUAUAUACUUUUAUGACUUUGUAGAAAUGUACCCGGCGACUCCCACUGUCUCUUUACGAGUUUUACCACAAAGAACAUCACCGUCUGUUAGACGAGAAGUACUAGAGAGGGGGGAGAAUAAAAAAGUUUAGAAAAUCGAUAAAAUGUGACUUUAUACGUUUCGUGAAACUUAUGUAAUGGCGGCUGAUAUAUUUUUUCCGUGAAUUUCAGCCGGCGUGUAUAGCAGCAUAACGUCAAGUUUAAAUUCAACAGUCCAUGUCGGGAAUGGAUUCAACAAAAGGAGGGUUCCCGUCGAGUGGCCAUCACGUUUCUUUUUAUCACGCUCAAUCAAGUGAAAAGAAAAUUGUAAAAAAAUUGAAUGGUCAACAUUUUCUCCGUUAGAGACGAUUAGAUAUCACGUCCAUUGUGCGCCAAUCAGACCCACUUAUUUGAAAGCUUCAGCAUACAAAACUGCUCGAUCGGCAUCAUCGACCUAGAAUCAAUGCAUUGUCAGAGAAAUAUUUAUUGGGAUAUUGUUUUAAAUACUUUGCAGCUGCAGUCCUGGACUAUUCGUUUGUGUAGGGCUGAUUGAAAUGUACGACCGUCGGUUUUUUCUCAGCAGCGUCAAAAGGGUUUCAAUAAAGAACUUUUUAUUAGUGGGCUACAUAUUUGCAUAUUCACUGAGAAGAUAUACCUGAGCGUGAAUCACGCAGCUGGGAGAAGUCGUUUAGAGGCCGUUUCUCGCAGAUGACUGAACCAAUUUCAAUAAAAAAGCCCAGGACUUUUAUAUCGGCACUCAAGUUCCUUAUGGUCUCGUUAAAGUUUGUAUUAAAAAUAAAAAAAGGGGCCCAAUUGGAUGUUUUAACAAGUUACUUCCUCAUUUCAAGUUUGAAUGUACAGUAUAUGUGCCUGGUCAUUUCGCAAAGUAGAUAUUUGAGGGCAGCCAUCGCCCAAAGGGUUUUGAAUCGUACUUUUCCCAUCUGGUUAACCAGCAAAAUAAUAAAGGGCGUCAACCGGUUUUGGGGACACGCUUUUUCCGUAGGGGACU